UCCCCCGUCCCCUUCGUCACGGAAUCGGGCCUAACACCCGUAAACCGUUGACAAAUACAAAUAAUAGUAACAAUAAUAAUAAUAAUAAUAAAAUCUUUUUCCAACAACAAAACAUGCUUGUCCAGUGGGGUAUAUUCUUCUCAAGCAUGUCAAAAAUCUUUAUCCCUUUAACAUUUGCAAAAGUUUUUGCUUCUGUCCUCAUGAGCCCUGUUGUUUUAUUUAAAGCUGGAAAGGGUAAAUGUUGAUGCAAACUCAUUUGCAUCAAAAAUACCAAGCUAAUCGCAAAGUAAUCUAAGAACAAAUACUCAAGGAUCCAGAACACAUAAUUAGCCAUAUUCUGUUUCAGUGUAUAUUAAAUGAAAGCCAAAUCCAUAGUCAUAUAUCUAAGGCUGUAUCCUAGAAGUUGAGAGGUUAUGUAGUUUUAUUAAGUUUAGGUUUAGAUAUUUCAUUUAUUGUGAUUCAUUGUUGAUUAAAUUGAAAGGUAAUUUAUCUCUAACUCACAACCUAUGUUUUUGCUUAACAGAAAGUAAAAUGAACUUGAAACAAGAGCUUUGUUCCAAAUAACCUUAAGCAUUAUUUGUUAAGAGAAUCUGAAUCAAGCAGCUAGAUACUAUGAAACAUUACAGCGAGUUCAGUAAAAAUAAUAAGCUUACAAAAGAAACGAUACUUGAUUGUAAAAGAUUACUACUUUUGACUACUUCAGAGACAAGGAGGUCAAAGCGAUACAGUACGCAGAGCAAUCUGAUAGAUAUAAUGAAAGAAAUCAGCUCCUUUUGUCUGCCACAUGGAGGAGACUGAGGCAGCAGACAGUUCUGUGUCCAGUCUUGGUCUCAUCUUCUUGGUGCCAAUAUGCCCCUUGUGACAGAGUAGUAAGGAACUUGUUCCAAAAUAAGAUGGAAAUCAAUUGUUUCUAUCUCCAGAGUAACUGUCCUCUUCUGAAGUAGUGCAUUUCACUGUGAGGAUAGAAGGGCAUAGCUUGAGAGUUACUCUUGCUUAUUUUUCUUCCCAAACAUCUCAGCCACAGAACCAUUAUUCUCUCUUGCUUGCUUGCUAUGGCCACUAUCCAGGGUACUAUUGGGAUUUUCAGUGUAAAUUUAGGGUACACUGAGCUGAGAAGGCCUUUUGCAUUCUCUUUGUCUGGAUUCCCAGAUGGUUUGAGUUUCUCAAGGAAAAGCAAGUUUGCUCCAUGCAAGGAGUUCUGAGUAAGAGUGGCUUUCAAAUAAGCAGAAUGUCACAUAUCUAAAGCUACAUUUACGAUCAGAAUUUUUAAGGCUCCCAGAAUUCAAAUAAAAUGUCAAAGUAGAAUGUACUGCCAUGGAUUUCAAUGGGAGAUUAAAUGCUUUUUGAAACUAAAUCUCAUUAAGUACUUGCAUCAUCUUAAAAUAAAAAACAUGUUGAAUCUAAGAAGUUGUUACUUUGCAGACAUUCCCAUUGACUUACAAAACAUCCCCUUAACUAGCCCAGGCUGGAAAUUAUUCAGUCCAGCUGGCAGGAAUAAGGAUCAGCUACCUUUAGUCUCUUGGGCUCUCCUUGCUGCUAGCUAAGCUACUGUUGCUCUUAUGGACCUUUGGGGUGCAGAGUACCACCUCAGGUGCGAUGACUAGAUAACCCUGUCUAACAAGGGUUUAUUUAUAAAUGCAAGGCUUGCUCCUGUUUAAGGUAGGGACAAUUCUUGUUGCUGAGUUUACUGUGAGAGGAGGGAAAUUACUUCAGUCUGAUAAGAUGAUCUUCAUCAUAAUUAUAAGGUAUGUGUAAGUAUGUAGGUAUGGUGUUUUCAUAAUAUCUAAGAAGUGCUUGCUUGUUUGUUUUUUUAAAUAAAGCUAAUAUUUUUUUCUAGUUUGAUGCUCCAACAUAUUGUGAAGAAGUUUCUUCUGCACUUGAUUUUCUUGAUUUAAGUUGCUCUUUGUUAAGUCAGUGAAACAGCAGAGUUACAAGGACUUUACUGUCGUUCCAUUGUGGUAUCAUUUUAUCUGUAAAGCCACUCCUUAAUAUUUCAAGUUAAUAAUUUAAUUUUAGAGAUCUGGACCUCUUCAGUUUGUUUAUGUGAUAACUAGAUUUAUAAAAUAUAUAUGAUGUACUAUUCAUUGUUUAUUUGUCCCCUAUAGUUCAAAAUUUCAAAGCUCUUAGCUUUUUUUUUUUUUUUUCUAAAGACACUUGUGAAAAAUAAGCACAAAUAUGUGACAAGUUUUUCUGUGUGCUGUGUGCUCUAAGUGCUCAAUGAACAUGGGUAAAAGCAAAGACUGGUAGCUCAGGAUAGUCUACAUAUGGAUUUAGGUAAUAGAUUUUAGACAACUGUCAGGAUGCAAGCCAAAAGUUAAUUUUAAUUCAGUUCUUGAAAUACAUUUUCUGUGCACGCUUUGUUUCUUUUAUAAAAACAAAUGUGUUUGUUAAGUCGUUUUUUUUUUUUAUAUAUUAAUGUAUGUUUAAAAAUGCUGUAUCAUUGAAAGUUUUUAUGUUAUUUUUCAGACAUACUAAAUGGCAUGGCUAGUGCCGAUGAAAUGAAAUUGUAGUGAAUCUAGGCUGACAGUCUGCUUUUGAAAGGUGUAGCACUAGAUCAGAGUUCAUGUAUUAAAACAUUUACUCUGAAUGAUCAAUUGAUGUACAGGAUUUCAGCAUCAUACUUUGUCCUCCAAAGGUAAUGUACGGGCUUGACCUGGUUAUAUUUCAAUGAACUUUUCAUUUUCAUGGCUCAUCGCUGAGGCUUACAAUGAAGAUAUAUUUCUUACUUGCUACUAAGUUUUUUUCUGGUAGAAACAUGUUGUCUUACACUUCUACCUUUGAAGAAGGAUACAUCAACUUCGUUAAUAAACAUUUAAGUUCAAAUUUAAGACAUUAUUUUGUUCUAUAGAAAUAGCUCAUAAAAACUGUGGUGGCAACAGUGUGUUCCUGGUCUGCUGCUUGAAUUUUUGAUUCUGAAAUCUCUACUAAAAAGCAUCCAUUAUUUAUAAUGGACCGUUGAUGGAUUGAAUCCUGGGAAGUAUAUGUCAUGGACAAGUUCAGUUAAGUGUAGAGACUUACAGUCUCCUAUUUAAACUUAUCUCAGUAGUCAUGAUUGUGUGUUAUUCUUUAGAUUCUUUUCCUAGAAGGACGUUAUGUGUGGAACAGCUGUUCUUCUCAGUUUAGAAAGUACUGAAUUUAACUAGUGAAUGGAGUUUACAAAUGCCUAGAAAGCUGUGAAGAUAAUAUUUCAGUGUUAGAAGAACAUUUCUCCCUCCUGUAAUUGCAAAGCUAUUACAUGUAGAUUUAUUUUACUGUUUAAGUAUGAAUCUUGUAUUGGCAAAGUGAUAUAUAAAUGUGGAAAGUUAUAUUGAAUCAGGAGCAUACUAGAGACACAACUGUGACUCACACAAGACAAAUGGCCUUUUGAGUGCCUAAUUCAGAAAGAACUUAACCAAGAGCAGGCCUGUGCUAAUUGCUCACAUGGCAAAGAUUUAGCUCCUCAACUCUUAGACAAGCAAAUGACAGUACAUUAGCCUGGCUUUGGCACAGAGGUAUGUGUAGCGAUGCUAAUUCUCAGAUGGGAAGAGUAGCCCUUUGAAAAUUCAUAAUGCAUGCUUAGAUGAACAUUAGACACAGCUUUCUUUUUCUCUUAAUCCCUGUGUAUUCUUUAACAACAGAGUUGCUUUAAAAUAACUAACAAUGAAUGAUAGAAUGGUUAAAGCUGGAAGGGACUUCUGGAGUUCCAACAUCUGUUCAAGCAGAGUCACCCAGAGCAGGGUGUUUAUGCCGAUGUAGAGACUUAUGAAGAUCUCCAGGGAGGAGGCUCCACAGCCUCUCUGGGCAACCUCUCUGUGCCCAUGUUCCAGUACCUGCACAACACAGAAUUCUUCCUGAUGUUCAGGAAGAAUCUCCUGUGUCCCCUUUUGUGUCCACUGUCAUCUGUCCUGGCACCGGGCAACACUGAAAGGAGCCCAACUCUGUCGUGUGCAAAUUUAGAGAAUCUUUUGUUAAAGGUAAUAUGAUUUUCAGCUAAUAAUUCUACACAAAAGGAUUUUUUUUUUAAAGAUACUACUUCAUAAUAAAUCUUUAAAUCUUAAGAACAUGUUUCAAUUUUAGCUUCUCAGGAGCAGUUCCUCUCAUUUUUGCUCCAUGAAAACAGCCACAGUACUAUUACAUUUCUCAAGUAGGAUGACUCUUAAAUCCACAAAGGACUUUAAAUAUUGAUUACUUUUAUAACUAGCAUUUGUUAUAUGGGUAUUCAUGUGAUGUGAUUUUUUUUUUCCUGUCAAAUUUAUCACAAAGUAAAUUUUACUAACAUGAUUACUUACAGAAAAUGAAUAAAAUACUUUAGAAAUGCCAUAGAAAUUGAUGUAUUGCUUUUAUUGAAACAAGUAUUUAUAAAUACAUUUUUAUUAUAUUUACCCUCUUAUUCUUCUUAGAACUCAAAGAAGAACUUUUUAAUCUGCAGCAGCCAUUAUAUGAAUGUGGAUGAUUGAAAUGAUAUGAUGAUUUGCAGCUAUGAUAUUAAUAUCAUCAUUAUUUCUCAAGGACAUGACUGCUGUCUUGGUGUUGGAUUUUUGGCUGGCAAGGGAUCACCACUUGAAGAGGAACAAAGAUCACCUAAUUCAACUGUUUACAGGUGUACCUGGCACCACUCCCAAUGUACAAGGGAUGUUGAUGCAGUCGACCUUGGUGCCAGGAGGGUAUGUGGGAGGUGAACUUGACACCAGACAACAGUAGGAAGUACUGCAGGAAUUGCUUUGCAGUCCGAAAUCACCUGAAUUAGGAGAUGGCCACAAACUUGAAUACCGGCUCUGAGCUGCUGACCACCUUUGAGGCAGUUUCUGACCUGACCCACAUGUCAUGGUUCAGGCUUUCUCUGUGAUAGUCACGGUGUGAAGCAUACAAGUCAGAUGCUGUAAUCUGAAAAGAAAAAAAAGACAGACCUGAUCUCAAUUUUACAUCUUGGAUCCACUGAGAACUGUGGUAUGGUACUUGAUUCUUAAUACCAUGAGGUACUUCAAUUCUCUUUCUCCUCUGUAGUCACUGGAACUGCUCAGCAUUCAUCUUUCAAUGAACAGUAUGCCUUCAACAUAAAGAGGAACACUGCUACCAGCUUUUAUGUCAGCAUUGUUUUUGCAUAGAUUCAAUUAUUUUUGAAGUGACUUGAUCAUUCCAGAACAGAAAAUGUCCAGAUAAGAGUAACACUUUCUAUUGGAAAUACUUAAAUUGUGAUCUGCAUAAUAUUUCAUAUUUAGAUUCACAUUUUCAGGAUUAUGCUUUCUUAAGAACUCAUGCCAAGUAUACUUACAGAUCUUCUUUUGUAGCUGUCAAUCCAGAAAGCAGCCGUCAGUGAGAUAUACAGUACAAUGAACAACAAAAUAAGGGAGCAGAAACUUUCUUGUCACGCUGUUAUCUACCUUGUCCACAAUAGCAAUAUUUCACUAUAUGCAUGUAAUAUUUUAAUAUAUAUACAUAUAAUAUUUCAAAUAUAUAUAUUACACUUUUAUCUCAUUAUGACUGUGACAUAUAUUUUCUGUUCACUUUUUUUGUGUUGCAAAUAAUUUAAGACAUAAAAAGAAAUCCAAAAUACAGUAAGUGUUGGCAGAGCAGUUUUUUUGUUGUUGAUUGGUUGGUUGUCUGGUUGCUUUUGUUUGUUUUUAUUAUUUUUUCUUUGUGACUUUUUGUGCUAAUUUGACUUUGACGUGGUCCCCCACCACAUUCUUACCUGUAAAUUGGAGAGACAAAGAUUUGAAGGGUGGACUAUUCGGUGGACUAGGAAUUAGCUGGAAGGUCACAGCCAGAGGGUUGUGGUCAAUGGCACUAUGUCCAGGUGACAAGAGGUGUCCCUCAGGAGUCAGUCUUGGUACUGAUACUCUUUAACAUCUUUAUCAGUGACAUAGAGGAUGGGAUUGAGUGCACCCUUAGCAAGUUUGCUGAUGACACCAUGCUGAGAGGUGCAGUUGAUAUGGCAGAAGGAAGGGGUGCCAUCCAGAGGUAAUUUGAUAAACUCGACAGGUGGGCCCACGUGAAGCUAAUCAGGUUCAACCAAGCAAAGUGCAAGGUUUUGCACUUGGGUCAGGGUAAUCCCAGAUAGGUAUACGAACUGGGAGAAGAAAUUCUUGAGAACCCUGGAGGCGUUCAAGGCCUGGUUGGAUGGGGCCCUGGCAGUCUGAUCUAGUAGCUGAUCUAGCGGCUGACAACUCUGCCUGUGGCAGGGGUGUAGGAACUUGAUGAUCCUCGAGGUCCCUUCCAACCCAAGCCAUUCUAUGAUUCUAUGAAUUUCUAGAUCAAAUAAACAAACAAAAUUCUCUUUAUCAGUGAUUUCACUGAGAAAUGCAGUAAUUCAUCUUUCUUAAAUACAGUGGUUCCAAAAUGUUUCCAAGGAUUAACCUUCAAACUACUCAUUUUUUGGCAUUCUUUGUGGUACUUCUCUCUAUUUAGGAAGAGCUAAUGAAGAGACAGAGACACCCUGUCCUUUCCAUACUCCCUGCCACCUCAUUCACAUAAGCCACUGCUCACAACAGUGAAACUGAGUACGUUGAUUAACAUAUAGAAGAUUUCAUGUUAAUGUAUAUGUGAGAAUUAGUGUACUUUCCCAAAGAAUGGAGGGAAAUCCUGGCUAUUGACUGCUUAACUUGAAAUAUCAACUAUCGGUUGGUAAACAGACAGUGCCUCAGACACUGCAUAAACAGUUGUAAUUUCAGUUGAUGUUUCAGUUUUGUUUUACAAAAUUCAAUCAUAAAAAUAACUGUUUUCAGCAUCUUUCUUCACAUUUGAAAAAUUCACAAGCCUUUUCUGCAUUUUGUUCUAUUGAGUUUCCAAAAAUUAUGAGUAUUAUAAGACUGUGCAGCUAAAUGCUGUACACUUGUUAUACAUGUACAGUCAUGUAAAACUUUAGCGAUCAUUGUCACUCAUUUUUAAAAAAUACAAUAUUUUAAAAAUAAAUUAUAAUUUAUUUUUCUGCAAUUAAAUGUAGAAAAAAAUCAGAUUACUGAACAUAGAUGGUUUCAUAUGUUGAUUUGAAUUGUCUAAGCCACAGCAUCUGUCUCAUGCCUGCCAGAACUAACUAGAUUUAUGAGAUAUGAAGUUACGUUGGUUUGCUAAAUUGUUUCACGCUAGUAACUUAGCUUUUUUCAUGCUCAACGUUGUUUAUGUUCUAUGGCUUCUAAUUCAGAUUUAAGAAAAGUAUGUGCUAAAAUUGUCUUUUUCUCCUCUGUGAAUUUUACUUCACAGUAAUGAUACUUUGAAGUACUGUUCUUAAGCAUAGUGUGUACUUGUUUCCAGAUAUUCCCAUCACAAUUUCUUUGAAUCUCUUCAGCAGAUGAACUGGUUUAAAAGUACUGUGAGGCUACAGAGUAGUGAAGGAAGAUGCUGAGUCAGCCAUUUAAGGUACAGUUUGCACAGGAGACAUUAUCAUGACAGUGUUAAGAUAACUGGUAACUAAUAUAUAGCUUCUGGAAGUUACUGAAAUAAUAAUAAGCCUUCUGGGAUUAGAAAGGUCUUUUCCAGGGUUUGAGGCAGGUGAGAUUGGGAAUAGAUGUCAAAGUUGGUGCUUGAACUUUAUGUACUGAUAUGAUUUCUUUCAUUUCUUAUCAUGUCUCAGGGAAGGGAUGUGGCAUACUUGUUUCUGUGCUACUCUGUUCACUUUGUUUCCCUGACCUCUUGAAUGAAUAGUUCUGUGCAAAAGUGCUCCAGAGUCACUGCUGCAACUGGGGAGGAAGAGCCCUCAUCCAUUUGCUUUAUCCACUGGCUACAUUUUGAGAUCUAGCUUUUCUGUAGGCUCCAGGAGCUUUGGAAAUCUUCACAUCCUUUUACAUGGAUACAAAUUAUAGUUAUCUUCUAUCUCACAAGAAAAUAGAUAAGUGGGGAUUUUGGUAACUGUAGGAAUUGAUGACCAGAACCUGUAAACUGUCCCAAGAGUUUAACUAACUGGUAGCACACUCCAAACAAAAGGUCUCAUAAACUAUUUAGAAAAUGCAGGAUAUGGAAAGUACCUCAUAUUUUCACAUGGUGAGUAUUCUAUAUUUUCAUUGCCCUUACUACUGAGAAGCUGUGUGGUUCCCUCUCUAAUAAGGAGAGCCUGGAGGGCAGCUAUUAUGUGUGACAAAGCAGAGAUUUUUCUGUUCAUUCAUAGUACAUUUCCUUGUCAGCAGGAUUGUUUUUAACAGCACUGCCAUGAAACAGAGGAUAACAACACCAAGAAGCCCUCUCUGGAAAUCUGUGGAAUUUGUUUGUUUAGGAUGUCUAUAGUUCUUCAUGCAUUUUCAUUCAGAUUGAGGAUAAUGAACAGAAGAUAAUCAGUAUCUUAUCUAAAUUAAAAUCUAAAUUAAAAUCUAAAUUAAAUUUAUGUGCCUUGUGAUUCGACUUUUUCUGUGUUUGUUUUAUUGUUGGGCUGAUUUCACUCUUGUUUCAAAGAAGGUGAAGGAACACUAAAAUCUCCAAAAGAAGCAGUAAGAACAAAGAUAUCUCGAAGGAAGAAUCAGAAGAAAUGAGCAGAACAGUCUGGAGGAUCACAUUAGCUUACUCUCGUCAUUUUCCUCUCUUUCUGCUAGAGAUGUGACAUGACAGAAGUACAGGGUACUACUGCGCCAGCAGGUUUUUCAUUGACUGAGUAAAAUAGGUAGAUUCUUCUUACAGUUGCCAAGCUAUUUAAUUUAAAUGAUUCUAUAUAAUUGUAGUGAUCACCUGGGAGACUAAACAUGACUUUCCUCUUU